rnacentral:lncRNA from 10 species
CAGUGCAGUGCAGGAGCAAUCACAGCACACUGCAGCCUCCAACUCCUGGCCUCAGGUGAUCCUCCUGCCUCAGCCUCCUGAGUAGCUGGGACUACAAGCAUACCACCACCACUCCCGGCCCCUCCUCUGUUUUUGAAAGUAAGCCAUAUAAACCUUUUCUGCCAACUUCUUAUUCACCCCAAGAGGGCUACUUAAAGGAGGGUGAAGACAUGCUAAGGCUUGGAGAUGCUGGAUCCUUCAGCCAGCAGUGAGCAUUCCUCAUUUCAAGGCAGGAAUCCCCCCCAUUGUGGGCAAGCUGCCUCCACUUCUUCCAACUCCUGGCAGGAAAUCCUUCCUGGGUCCCUCCUUCAGCUCCUGUCAAGUCCCGUUUGUGAGGACUGGUCAACCCCGAAGGUCUGUUUUUCCCUCCCCUGCUUGUGGCAGGCCUCUCCAAGAGGCAUAACCCUUUGGGGUGCCCUGAAGGAUCCCCUAGGCUUCCCCAAGCCUGCCAAGCGCCCAGUACUUGAAGAGAAGCCAGGCCUUUUAGCACUGCCAUCAGGUUGUCACUCUGUUGUCCAGGCUGGAGUGCAGUGGCACAAUCUUGGCUCACUGUAACCUCCGCCUCCGGGGUUUAAGUGAUUCUCCUGCCUCACUCAGCCUCCCAAGAACCUGGGACUACAGGCACCCGCCACCGCCCCCCACUGAUUUUUGUAUUUUUAUUAGAGAUAGGGUUUCAUCAUGUUGGCCAUGUGGAUCUUGAACUCCUGACCUCAGGUGAUCUGCGCACCUUGGUCUCUCAAAGUGCCGGGAUUACUGUGGCGUGAGCCACUGCGCCUGGCCUAAAUGAGAUCAUAUCAAUGAAAAUCUUCUCGACUUUCCAAGAAUUGCACAGAUAUCUGUCUGUUGGUGCUUGGUUAAUCCAAUUCUGCCUGCAAAGGCUGGUUGGUGUGGUUGGGGGAACUGACUCCGACUGAUGGUUGGAUGUGAGCCGAUGCUGCGGUUUCCUCCUCUUCGCAGUUCCUUUGCAGUUAGAGCCACAGGAGUGGGCAGCUCAGCCUGUGUCUUUGCUGAACUAAGGGAAGCUCCACCGAGCCUGGAGAACAAGGUGGUUUCUGCCCAGUUGGUGGCGUCACCCUCCUUGAAGGCCCCUGCCUGGCCUGCAGCACUGAUGUCCAGGCUGUGAGUACAAAUGUGGCUUCCGUCUGUCUGAAACGUGGUCCCAUAGAAACUUUUUCACGUUUGGGGUCUGUGCUGAACUAGAUAUUUGUGGAAAGUCAUUUUGUAGACAGUAGGCCUCGCAGUUGUUCAAUUAUGUGCGUAUUAAAAUACAAUAAAAAUGUCUAACUUUUAC